rnacentral:rRNA from 1 species
UUGAUCCUGGCUCAGAAUCAACGCUGGCGGCGCGCCUAACACAUGCAAGUCGAACGAGAACGGUCUCAGCAAUGGGGCUUAGUAAAGUGGCGUACGGGUUAGUAACACGUGGAUCAUCUACCUUCUAGUGGGGGAUAACCCGGGGAAACUUGGGCUAAUACCGCAUAACACCGCAAGGUCAAAGGAGCAAUUCGCUGGAUGAUGAGUCCGCGGCUGAUUAGCUAGUUGGCGGGGUAAUGGCCCACCAAGUCUUUGAUCAGUAGCCGGUCUGAGAGGACGCACGGCCACACUGGAACUGAUACACGGUCCAGACUCCUACGGGAGGCAGCAGUGGGGAAUCUUGCACAAUUGGGGAAACCCUGAUGCAGCGACGCCGCGUGGGUGAUGAAGGUCUUCGGAUCGUAAAGCCCUUUCGGCAGGGAAGAGUAAAGACGGUACCUGCAAAAGAAUCCCCGGCUAACUACGUGCCAGCAGCCGCGGUAAUU